rnacentral:rRNA from 1 species
CGCGUGCACUGGUUCGGCCGGGCCUUCACCUUCUGCGGAACCGCAUCUCCUUCACUGGGGGUGUCGGGGAAACAGGACGUUUACUGUGAAAAAAUUAGAGUGCUCCAGGCAGGCCUAUGCUCGAAUAGAUUAGCAUGGAAUAAUGGAAUAGGACGUGUGGUCUUAUUUCGUUGGUUUCUAGGACCGCCGUAAUGAUUAAUAGGGACAGUCGGGGGCAUCAGUAUUCAAUCGUCAGAGGUGAAAUUCUUGGAUCGAUUGAAGACUAACUACUGCGAAAGCAUUUGCCAAGGAUGUUUUCAUUUAUCAGGAACGAAAGUUAGGGGAUCGAAGACGAUCAGAUACCGUCGUAGUCUUAACCAUAAACUAUGCCGACUAGGGAUCGGACGGUGUUAUUUCUUGACCCGUUCGGCACCUUACGAGAAAUCAAAGUGCUUGGGCUCCAGGGGGAGUAUGGUCGCAAGGCUGAAACUUAAAGAAAUUGACGGAAGGGCACCACCAGGGGUGGAGCCUGCGGCUUAAUUUGACUCAACACGGGGAAACUCACCAGGUCCAGACACAACGAGGAUUGACAGAUUGAGAGCUCUUUCUUGAUUUUGUGGGUGGUGGUGCAUGGCCGUUCUUAGUUGGUGGAGUGAUUUGUCUGCUUAAUUGCGAUAACGAACGAGACCUUAACCUGCUAACUAGUCCGUAUUACCCCGGUAGUACGCCGACUUCUUAGAGGGACUAUCGG